AACGAACGCUGGCGGCGUGCUUAACACAUGCAAGUCGAGCGGUAAGGCCCUUUCAGGGGUACACGAGCGGCGAACGGGUGAGUAACACGUGGGUGACCUGCCUUUAGCUCUGGGAUAAGCCUGGGAAACUGGGUCUAAUACCGGAUAUGACCUCAUGAUGCAUGUUGUGGGGUGGAAAGCCUUGUGCGGCUGGGGAUGGGCCCGCGGCCUAUCAGCUUGUUGGUGGGGUGAUGGCCUACCAAGGCGA
rnacentral:rRNA from 1 species